UACAGAGGGUGCAAGCGUUACUCGGAAUUAUUGGGCGUAAAGGGCUCGUAGGCGGUUUGUCACGUCGGGAGUGAAAACUCAGGGCUUAACCCUGAGCCUGCUUCCGAUACGGGCAGACUAGAGGUAUGCAGGGGAGAACGGAAUUCCUGGUGUAGCGGUGAAAUGCGCAGAUAUCAGGAGGAACACCGGUGGCGAAGGCGGUUCUCUGGGCAUUACCUGACGCUGAGGAGCGAAAGUGUGGGGAGCGAACAGG
rnacentral:rRNA from 1 species